rnacentral:rRNA from 1 species
AGAGUUUGAUCAUGGCUCAGGAUGAACGCUGGCGGUGUGCCUAAUACAUGCAAGUCGUGCGGCAGCGAGAGAUGCUUGCAUCUCGUCGGCGAGCGGCGGACGGCUGAGUAACGCGUAGGAACGUACCCCAAAGUGAGGGAUAAGCACCAGAAAUGGUGUCUAAUACCGCAUGUGGUCCAAGGAUUAAAGCUUCGGCGCUU